UACGGAGGAUCCAAGCGUUAUCCGGAUUUAUUGGGUUUAAAGGGUGCGUAGGUGGCCUGUUAAGUCAGGGGUGAAAGACGGUAGCUUAACUAUCGCAGUGCCUUUGAUACUGACGGGCUUGAAUACACUAGAGGUAGGCGGAAUGUGACAAGUAGCGGUGAAAUGCAUAGAUAUGGCACAGAACACCAAUUGCGAAGGCAGCUUACUAUGGUGUCAUUGACACUGAGGCACGAAAGCGUGGGGAUCAAACAGG
rnacentral:rRNA from 1 species